rnacentral:rRNA from 1 species
AUACGGAGGAUGCGAGCGUUAUCCGGAUUUAUUGGGUUUAAAGGGAGCGUAGGCGGGAGCUUAAGUCAGCGGUUAAAUGGUGUGGCUCAACCGUGCCCUGCCGUUGAAACUGGGUUUCUUGAGAGUGCAAGAGGCGGAUGGAAUUCAUGGUGUAGCGGUGAAAUGCUUAGAUAUCAUGAAGAACUCCGAUUGCGAAGGCAGUCCGCUGGGGCACGUCUGACGCUGAUGCUCGAAGGUGCGGGAAUCAAACAGGAUUAGAUACCCUGGUAGUCCGCACGGUAAACGAUGAUUACCCGCUGUCGGCGGUAGACAGUCGGCGGCCAAGCGAAAGCGAUAAGUAAUCCACCUGGGGAGUACGCCGGCAACGGUGAAACUCAAAUGAAUUGACGGGG